ACUCCUACGGGAGGCAGCAGUUGUAUAGUUAGGGCGAACCUGAUGCAGCCAUGCCGCGUGUGUGAAGAAGGCCUUCGGGUUGUAAAGCACUUUCAGUGGGGAGGAAGGGCUGAUGACUAAUAUUCAUCAGCAUUGACGUUACCCACAGAAGAAGCACCGGCUAACUCCGUGCCAGCAGCCGCGGUAAUCAC
rnacentral:rRNA from 1 species